AUUGAACGCUGGCGGCAGGCCUAACACAUGCAAGUCGAGCGGAUGAAGGGAGCUUGCUCCUGGAUUCAGCGGCGGACGGGUGAGUAAUUCCUAGGAAUCUGCCUGGUAGUGGGGGAUAACGUCCGUAAACGGGCGCUAAUACCGCAUACGUCCUGAGGGAGAAAGUGGGGGAUCUUCGGACCUCACGCUAUCAGAUGAGCCUAGGUCGGAUUAGCUAGUUGGUGGGGUAAAGGCCUACCAAGGCGACGAUCCGUAACUGGUCUGAGAGGAUGAUCAGUCACACUGGAACUGAGACACGGUCCAGACUCCUACGGGAGGCAGCAGUGGGGAAUAUUGGACAAUGGGCGAAAGCCUGAUCCAGCCAGGCCGCGUGGGUGAAGAAGGUCUUCGGAUUGUAAAGCACUUUAAGUGGGGAGGAAGGGCAGUAAGUUAAUACCUUGCUGUUUUGACGUUACCAAAAGAAUAAGCACCGGCUAACUUCGUG
rnacentral:rRNA from 1 species